CCUCCGUGACCUGCUGCGGGCAGAUGAAGUGACAGUGCGCGUCGACGGUGCCCGCGGUCACGAUGAGCUUCUCGCCCGCGAUCACCUCCGUGCUCGAGCCGAUGACGAGGCUCGGGUGCACCCCGGCCAUGACGUCUGGGUUGCCGGCCUUGCCUAUGCCUGUGAUCACGCCGUCCUUGACGCCGAUGUCCGCCUGGCAGGGAGGUGCGGUUGGAUACAUACAUGCCGGCGACAGGAUGAGGGGAAGCGCACCUUGUAGAUGCCGGUCCAGUCCACGAUGAGCGCAUUGGUGAUGACCAGGUCGAGGGUCGCCGCGGCCGGCCUGUCUGUGGCUUGGCCCAUUCCUUCGCGGAU
rnacentral:sRNA from 1 species